AACGAACGCUGGCGGCAGGCCUAACACAUGCAAGUCGAACGAACAGCCACUGGUGCUUGCACCGGUGGUGGGUGAGUGGCGAACGGGUGCGUAACACGUGGGAACCUGCCCCGAAGAGGGGGAUAACCAUUGGAAACGAUGGCUAAUCCCGCAUAGUCUCACGGUCGAGAGGCCGAUGAGUAAAACUCAGGUGCUUCGGGAUGGGCCCGCGGCCUAUCAGGUAGUUGGUGAGGUAAAGGCUCACCAAGCCGAUGACGGGUAGGGGCGUGAGAGCGUCGGCCCCCACACGGGGACUGAGACACGGCCCCGACGCCUACGGGCGGCAGCAGUGAGGAAUUCUUGCGCAAGUACGGGGGAAACCCUGACGCAGCGACGCCGCGUGCGGGAGGAAGGCGUUUCGGGUACGUAAACCGUCUUUUCUGGGGGACGAGACAAGGACGGUACCUCAGGAACAAGUCCCGGCUAACUACGUG
rnacentral:rRNA from 1 species